GUCAGGAUGGCCGAGCGGUCUAAGGCGCUGCGUUCAGGUCGCGGGUUCGAUUCCCAUUUCUGACA